UUAUGCUGAUAAGAGCGUAUGGUGGAUGCCUUGGCACUAAGAGCCGAUGAAAGACGUGAUAAGCUGCGAAAAGCUUCGGGGAGGAGCAAAUAUCCUUUGAUCCGGAGAUUUCUGAAUGGGGAAACCUACUUGAGCAAACCUCAAGUAUCCUUAAGCCAAUACAUAACUUAAGGAAGGGAACCCGGUGAACUGAAACAUCUAAGUAGCCGGAGGAAGAGAAAACAACAUGUGAUUCUGUGAGUAGCGGCGAGCGAAAACGGAAGAGCCCAAACCAGCGUGCGUGCAUGCUGGGGUUCGGACCGCGGAAUUGAUUCAACGAGUUUAGCAGAACGGUUUUGGGAAAGCCGGCCAGAGAGGGUGAAAGCCCCGUAAGCGAAAGACGAGUUGACAUGGCGGGAUCCAGAGUACCACGAGACACGUGGAACCUUGUGGGAAGAUGCGGGGACCACCCCGUAAGGCUAAAUACUACUUAGUGACCGAUAGCGCAUAGUACUGUGAAGGAAAGGUGAAAAGGACCCCGGGAGGGGAGUGAAAAAGAACCUGAAACCAUAUGUUUACAAGCUGUGGAAGAGCUUUAUAUGCUCAACCGCGUACUUUUUGUAGAACGGUCCGGCGAGUUACGCUGGCUGGCGAGGUUAAGGACUAAAGGUCCGGAGCCGAAGGGAAACCAAGUCUGAAUAGGGCGCAUAGUCAGUCGGAGUAGACCCGAAACCGGGUGAUCUAUCCAUGUCCAGGUUGAAGUUGCCGUAAAAGGCAAUGGAGGACCGAACCCACAUCCGUUGAAAAGGGUGGGGAUGAGGUGUGGAUAGGGGAGAAAUUCCAAUCGAACCCGGAGAUAGCUGGUUCUCCUCGAAAUAGCUUUAGGGCUAGCCUCAUACGAGUCUUGCGGAGGUAGAGCACUGAAUUCCUAAGGGGGCGUCAAAGCUUACUAAGGGAUAUCAAACUCCGAAUGCCGUGUAGAUGAUGUAUGGGAGUCAGACGAUCCGAGAUAAGUUGGGUGGUCAAAAGGGAAAGAGCCCAGACCAACAGCUAAGGCCCCAAAAUGUGUGUUAAGUGGAAAAGGAUGUGGGAUUUCGAAGACAACUAGGAUGUUGGCUCAGAAGCAGCCAUUCAUUCAAAGAGUGCGUAAUAGCUCACUAGUCGAGAGGUCCUGCGCCGAAAAUGUCCGGGGCUAAAACACACUGCCGAAGCUUUGGAAUUGAGAAUUCAAUUGGUAGAGGAGCAUUCUUAAAGGGACGAAGCAGUACCGUAAGGAGCUGUGGACUUUUAAGAAGAGAGAAUGCCGGAAUGAGUAGCGAGAGGAAGGUGGGAAUCCUUCCGGCCGAAUAUCUAAGGUUUCCAGAGUAAAGCUGAUCUGCUCUGGGUAAGUCGGGGCCUAAGGCGAGGUCGAAAGACGUAGUCGAUGGAUAACAGGUUGAAAUUCCUGUACUAUCCUGUAACAGAACUGUGGGGACACAGGCAGAGAGCGUGAGCCGGGAAUGGAAAGACCGGUACAAGCGAGGUAGGAGAAGAGUUGGCAAAUCCGCUCUUUAAUCUGAAGACGUGAUGUGGACUGAAAAUAAGUAGGGAAGCACGUGAGCUGACUGUCAAGAAAAGCCGCUAUUGUUUGCAGGAUACCCGUACCGUAAACCGACACAGGUGGAUGAGGAGAGAAUCCUAAGGCCGACGGGAGAAGCAUUGUUAAGGAACUCGGCAAAAUGACUCCGUAACUUCGGGAGAAGGAGUGCCAGUAAGAUGGCCGCAGAGAAUUGGCCCAAGCAACUGUUUAGCAAAAACACAGGUCUAUGCAAAACCGAAAGGUGAGGUAUAUGGGCUGACGCCUGCCCGGUGCUGGAAGGUUAAGGGGAGAGGUUAGCGCAAGCGAAGCUUUGAACUUAAGCCCCAGUAAACGGCGGCCGUAACUAUAACGGUCCUAAGGUAGCGAAAUUCCUUGUCGGGUAAGUUCCGACCCGCACGAAAGGCGUAAUGAUUUGGGCACUGUCUCAACAAUGCACCCGGUGAAAUUGAAAUACCAGUGAAGAUGCUGGUUACCUGC
rnacentral:rRNA from 1 species